rnacentral:rRNA from 1 species
AAUAGAUACCCGGGUAGUCCACGCCGUAAACGAUGAGUGCUAAGUGUUAGAGGGUUUCCGCCCUUUAGUGCUGCAGCUAACGCAUUAAGCACUCCGCCUGGGGAGUACGGCCGCAAGGCUGAAACUCAAAGGAAUUGACGGGGGCCCGCACAAGCGGUGGAGCAUGUGGUUUAAUUCGAAGCAACGCGAAGAACCUUACCAGGUCUUGACAUCCUCUGCCAACCCUAGAGAUAGGGCGUUCCCCUUCGGGGGACAGAGUGACAGGUGGUGCAUGGUUGUCGUCAGCUCGUGUCGUGAGACGUUGGGUUAAGUCCCGCAACGAGCGCAACCCUUGAUCUUAGUUGCCAGCAUUUAGUUGGGCACUCUAAGGUGACUGCCGGUGACAAACCGGAGGAAGGUGGGGAUGACGUCAAAUCAUCAUGCCCCUUAUGACCUGGGCUACACACGUGCUACAAUGGAUGGUACAAAGAGCUGCGAACCCGCGAGGGUAAGCCAAUCUUAUAAAGCCAUUCUCAGUUCGGAUUGUAGGCUGCAACG